rnacentral:rRNA from 1 species
CCUACGGGAGGCAGCAGUGGGGAAUAUUGCACAAUGGGGGAAACUCUGAUGCAGCGACGCCGCGUGAGUGAAGAAGUCCUUCGUUAUGUAAAGCUCUAUCAGCAGGGAAGAAAAUGACGGUACCUGAGUAAUAAUCCCCAGCUAACUACGUUCCAGCCGCCGCGGUAAUACGUAGGGGGCAAGCGUUAUCCGGAUUUACUGGGUGUAAAGGGAGCGUAGACGGGAGUGCAAGUCUGGAGUGAAAGGCGGGGGCCCAAACCCCGGACUGCUCUGGAAACUGUACGGCUGGAGUGCAGGAGAGGUAAGUGGAAGUCCGAGUGUAGCGGUGAAAUGCGUAGAUAUUAGGAGGAACACCAGUGGCGAAGGCGGCUUACUGGACUGUAACUGACGUUGAGGCUCGAAAGCGUGGGGAGCAAACAGGAUUAGAUACCCCUGUAGUC